UACGUAGGGUGCGAGCGUUAAUCGGAAUUACUGGGCGUAAAGCGUGCGCAGGCGGCGCGUUAAGACAGGUGUGAAAGCCCCGAGCUUAACUUGGGAAUUGCGCUUGUGACUGGCGUGCUGGAGUGUGGCAGAGGGAGGUGGAAUUCCACGUGUAGCAGUGAAAUGCGUAGAGAUGUGGAGGAACACCGGUGGCGAAGGCGGCUUCCUGGACCGACACUGACGCUGAGGCGCGAAAGCUAGGGGAGCAAACGGG
rnacentral:rRNA from 1 species